UAAGGUAUUACUAUAGACCUGGCAUUGGUGCCCUAAUCAUGGAUGCCCUUAUACACUAAUUAGGUAACAGCCCUGGCAAUACAGAGCUAAGAAUGCCAAUCACUGAGUGCCUCUCAGCAGAUGUCAAUCAAACAACGGGUUAACCUGCUGGCCCCGCCCACUGCUCCAGGUGUUACAGGAAGUAUAUUGUGCAUCACGCUCUGUCUUCCGGUGGGAAACAAUGCCAUCAUAAACACGCAUCCCGAGAUAGGACUACAUUGCUCGGACCGGGCUGGCAGUGUGGGGUCGGCAGGCGGUAAGUGGACACAGGAAACCU